UCCUACGGGAGGCAGCAGUGGGGAGUAUUGGACAAUGGGCGAAAGCCUGAUCCAGCCAUGCCGCGUGAGUGAUGAAGGCCUUAGGGUUGUAAAGCUCUUUCAGUAGGGAAGAUAAUGACGGUACCUACAGAAGAAGCCCCGGCUAACUUCGUGCCAGCAGCCGCGGUAAU
rnacentral:rRNA from 1 species